rnacentral:rRNA from 1 species
UGCAAGUCGAGCGCGGGAAGCGAACGGAAUCCUUCGGGAGGAAGUUCGUGGAACGAGCGGCGGACGGGUGAGUAACACGUGGGCAACCUACCUGUAAGACUGGGAUAACCCCGGGAAACCGGGGCUAAUACCGGAUAAUACGUUCCUUCACCUGAAGGAACGUUGAAAGAUGGCUUCUAGCUAUCACUUACAGAUGGGCCCGCGGCGCAUUAGCUAGUUGGUGAGGUAACGGCUCACCAAGGCGACGAUGCGUAGCCGACCUGAGAGGGUGAUCGGCCACACUGGGACUGAGACACGGCCCAGACUCCUACGGGAGGCAGCAGUAGGGAAUCUUCCGCAAUGGACGAAAGUCUGACGGAGCAACGCCGCGUGAACGAAGAAGGUUUUCGGAUCGUAAAGUUCUGUUGUUAGGGAAGAACAAGUGCCGUUCAAAUAGGGCGGCACCUUGACGGUACCUAUCGAGGAAGCCCCGGCUAACUACGUGCCAGCAGCCGCGGUAAUACGUAGGGGGCAAGCGUUGUCCGGAAUUAUUGGGCGUAAAGCGCGCGUAGGCGGUUUCUUAAGUCUGAUGUGAAAUCUUGCGGCUCAACCGCAAGCGGUCAUUGGAAACUGGGGAACUUGAGUGCAGAAGAGGAGAGUGGAAUUCCACGUGUAGCGGUGAAAUGCGUAGAUAUGUGGAGGAACACCAGUGGCGAAGGCGACUCUCUGGUCUGUAACUGACGCUGAGGUGCGAAAGCGUGGGGAGCGAACAGGAUUAGAUACCCUGGUAGUCCACGCCGUAAACGAUGAGUGCUAGGUGUUAGGGGGUUUCCGCCCCUUAGUGCUGCAGUUAACGCAUUAAGCACUCCGCCUGGGGAGUACGGCCGCAAGGCUGAAACUCAAAAGAAUUGACG